UGAAUGGUGGGCGGCAUGGUGAAGGCUGAGCGGGUAGCGGUGGAACCGGGAUUCGUCUCGCUACAGAUAGAAGAUUCCGCAGCAGCGUACCUUAAAGGACCUCAGCCUUCCAGGCGGCUCUUUCAUCAGGAGGGUCGUCCUGCGGGAGCCAGCAGCUCGACCCAAGAUUACAGAGGCGCUCCCAGAGCUCACAGAGGUGGCCCUUCCUAAACACGGACCGCGAGAGACACAGGGUCCGGUGGCACAUACGCCCCCAGGAAAGACAGAGGAUACGGCGCUCCAAAAGGUCAGAAGAAACAGCCGGAGACGCAGCAACCUAAAGAUCAGAAAUAGCCUUACAAAUAUCUUUAAUGGGCUUUGCAAGUUUGCAUGAGUUUGGUUUAUAUGCUAAUUUCAAAAACAGCAUAACAGUUCUUUCUUUGGCCAUCGCCAGUUGUUUUUUUCUUAUCACCUGUAUUACUGUUGAACGGUUUCUAGUAAACACAUUUGUUUCUGCAUCUA